rnacentral:rRNA from 1 species
UACCAGCACCCCGAGUGGUCGGGACGAUUAUUGGGCCUAAAGCAUCCGUAACCGGUUCUACAAGUCUUCCGUUAAAUCCACCUGCUUAACAGAUGGGCUGCGGAGGAUACUAUGGAGCUAGGAGGCGGGAGAGGCAAGCGGUACUUAGUGGGUAGGGGUAAAAUCCGUUGAUCCAUUGAAGACCACCAGUGGCGAAGGCGGCUUGCCAGAACGCACUCGACGGUGAGGGAUGAAAGCUGGGGGAGCAAACCGG